rnacentral:lncRNA from 1 species
AAAAAAGGCACCUCCAUCCAUUCAAGGACCAGACAGGGAAGGUAUCAAGAGGACUCAAUCAGGAUCUGGGUCAUGUAGUCAGUCUUGGGUCUGCUGCUUAGAUAAAGUAUUCACUGGCUGUGUGCCCACAAAGGAGACAUUUAACCUCUCCAAGCCUGUUUCCUAACCUGCAAGAUGUGACAGUUACACUCCUGCACCCCAAAGUCAAUGGGACAGUGCACUACAGUACUUUGUGUCUUGUAUUCAACUAUCUCCCAGCCCAGCCACCCUGGCUCCUCACUAGCAAAGUCACAUCCUUCCUCCCUCUCAUUCUCAGAGCCACGGCUGAGAUGGGGCUGCCUUGAGGCUGCCAGCUU